CGCGGUGUGGAGGAGCUCGGUCACCUCGCUGGCCUCAUUCGUCAGAGACGCCCGUUCGAAUCGGGCCACCGCUACCA
rnacentral:tRNA from 1 species